rnacentral:tRNA from 1 species
GCUUCCUUGGCUCAGCUGGUUAGAGCGCUGGUCUCAUAUGCCUAUGAGGUUGCACAUGCAAUCGUAAUCCAGAGGUCGCCAGUUCGAUCCUGGCAGGGAGCA